rnacentral:rRNA from 1 species
UACAGGGGGGGCAAGCGUUGUUCGGAAUUACUGGGCGUAAAGGGUUCGUAGGUGGCCACUUAAGUCAGACGUGAAAUCCCUCAGCUUAACUGGGGAACUGCGUGUGAUACUGGAUGGCUUGGAUUUGGGAGAGGGAUGCGGAAUUCCAGGUGUAGCGGUGAAAUGCGUAGAUAUCUGGAGGAACACCGGUGGCGAAGGCGGCAUCCUGGACCAAUAUUGACGCUGAGGAGCGAAAGCUAGGGGAGCAAACGGG